rnacentral:rRNA from 1 species
CCUACGGGUGGCAGCAGUGAGGAAUAUUGGUCAAUGGACGAGAGUCUGAACCAGCCAAGUAGCGUGAAGGAUGACGGCCCUAUGGGUUGUAAACUUCUUUUAUAUGGGAAUAAAACGCUCCACGUGUGGGAUUUUGUAUGUACCAUAUGAAUAAGGAACGGCUAACUCCGUGCCAGCAGCCGCGGUAAUACGGAGGAUCCGAGCGUUAUCCGGAUUUAUUGGGUUUAAAGGGAGCGUAGGUGGAUUGUUAAGUCAGUUGUGAAAGUUUGCGGCUCAACCGUAAAAUUGCAGUUGAAACUGGCAGUCUUGAGUACAGUAGAGGUGGGCGGAAUUCGUGGUGUAGCGGUGAAAUGCUUAGAUAUCACGAAGAACUCCGAUUGCGAAGGCAGUUCACUGGACUGCAACUGACACUGAGGCUCGAAAGUGUGGGUAUCAAACAGGAUUAGAUACCCCUGUAGUC